rnacentral:rRNA from 1 species
UACGGAGAUGGCAAGCGUUGUUCGGAAUCACUGGGCGUAAAGGGCACGUAGGCGGUUGGGUAAGUCGGGUGUGGAAGCGUUCGGCUUAACCGGACAGAGUCAUUCGAUACUGCCCGACUCGAGCACGGUAGGGGAGAGUGGAACUCCUGGUGGAGCGGUGAUAUGCGUAGAUAUCAGGAGGAACGCCGGUGGCGAAGGCGACUCUCUGGGCCGUUGCUGACGCUGAGGUGCGAAAGCUAGGGGAGCGAACGGGAUUAGAUACCCCCGUA